UGGAGUCCAAGGAAGCUAGUGUGAAUAUUACUAGAGUCGGGGGUAUAACCCGAAGUGGUAGAGUAUUUGCACCAGCACCUCCCUCAGACAAUAACAACCGGGGAUCUUCGAGCAAGAACCAGGGUGUCAUACCCCAAAAUUUGCCCAUUAAUAUUUCAAGACAUUUUGCAAGGCAUUCCGACUCAUAUAUAACACUGAUCUUGAAGAAACAAAGGCCCAGCUCACGGAUGGCCCAAU
rnacentral:lncRNA from 1 species